rnacentral:rRNA from 1 species
UACAGAGGUCCCAAGCGUUGUUCGGAUUCACUGGGCGUAAAGGGUGCGCAGGUGGGCUGGUAAGUUCGAUGUGAAAGCCCCGGGCUUAACCCGGGAAAGGCAUUGGAUACUACUGGUCUGGAGGAUUGGAGGGGGGACUGGAAUUCUUGGUGUAGCAGUGAAAUGCGUAGAUAUCAAGAGGAACACCAGUGGCGAAGGCGAGUCCCCUGGACAAUACCUGACACUGAGGCACGAAAGCCAAGGGAGCAAACAGG